rnacentral:piRNA from 1 species
UUCUGUAUGGAUUUGCCUAUUUUUGAUGUU